UACGGGGGGAGCAAGCGUUGUUCGGAUUUACUGGGCGUAAAGGGCGCGUAGGCGGCCACCGCAAGUCGGUUGUGAAAUCUCUGGGCUUAGCCCAGAAAGGUCAACCGAUACUGCGGGGCUAGAGUGCAGAAGGGGCAACUGGAAUUCUCGGUGUAGCGGUGAAAUGCGUAGAUAUCGAGAGGAACACCUGCGGCGAAGGCGGGUUGCUGGGCUGACACUGACGCUGAAGCGCGAAAGCUAGGGGAGCGAACGGG
rnacentral:rRNA from 1 species